rnacentral:rRNA from 1 species
CCUACGGGAGGCAGCAGUAGGGAAUAUUGGGCAAUGGAGGCAACUCUGACCCAGCCAUGCCGCGUGCAGGAAGACGGUCCUCUGGAUUGUAAACUGCUUUUGAAUGGGAAGAAUGUGCUCCUUGCGAGGGGUAAUGACGGUACCAUUAGAAUAAGCCACGGCUAACUACGUGCCAGCAGCCGCGGUAAUACGUAGGUGGCGAGCGUUAUCCGGAUUUAUUGGGUUUAAAGGGUGCGUAGGCGGCUUAAUAAGUCGGUGGUUAAAAGUAGCAGCUUAACUGUUUUACAUGCCAUCGAUACUGUUGAGCUUGAGAUAUUUGGAGGCAGCUAGAAUUUCCGGUGUAGCGGUGAAAUGCAUAGAUACCGGAAGGAAUACCAAUUGCGAAGGCAGGUUGCUACGAAUAAACUGACGCUGAUGCACGAAAGCGUGGGGAUCAAACAGGAUUAGAUACCCUGGUAGUCCACGCCGUAAACGAUGAUUACUAGUUGUUGGGGUUUAAGCCUUCAGUGACCAAGGGAAACCGAUAAGUAAUCCACCUGGGGAGUACGCCGGCAACGGUGAAACUCAAAGGAAUUGACGGNNGAGACGNGCGAGACGACGACGAGGGAGAG